rnacentral:lncRNA from 1 species
UGAGAUUGUUGAGGGAGAGGUCGAGGCGGAGGAGGUUAGGGUGGGAGGAGAGGAACGAGUCCGGUAACGGACCGAGCAGGCCGACAGAGUGGAGGCUGAGCUGUUGUAAGGAAGGAGGGAGGCGGAGGAGAGAGGUUGAGUUGGUGGAGGUGAAGUUGUUGGAAGAGAGGUUGAGGGAAGUGAGGGCGUCGAGGGAGGAGAACGGAUCGAACGAGGUGGAAUCGGCAGCAAGGCUGGAGGAGGCGAGAUCGAGCUGGCUGACUCGGCCGAGGUAGCAAGUGACUCCGAACCAGGAGCAAGGGAGUCGAGCCGGGACCCAAUCGGAGAGGACUCCCUUCGGGUCGGAGGUGAUCGCGUGUUUAAACAUGAGGAGUGCAGCCGCGUCGGUCUUUAAGGAACGCUGCUGGUCGACUGAUGAUAAUGCGACGUCGGAGAACAGUCCGCCGAGGAGGAGGGGAAGUAGCAUGAGGAGGAGGAGCUGGCUCCGAACCAGGAGCAAGGGAGUCGAGCCGGGACCCAAUCGGAGAGGACUCCGUUCGGGUCAGAGGUGAUCGCGUGUUUAAACAUCAGGAGCGCAGCCGCGUCGGUCUUUAAGGAAUGCUGCUGGUCGACUGACGAUAAUGCGACGUCGGGGAAGAGUCCGUUGAGGAGGAGGAGCAGGAGUAGUGGGAGAUGAGGAGGUUCCAUUGGUGGUGGUGGUGGUGGGUUGAGCGAUGAAUGUGAUCAUGAAGAGGUUGAUGCAGAGGGGAAGGGGGGAAAGUGAGGAAAAGAUAAAGGUGGUGGUGUUGGUUUGUAAUGUGUUUUGUUGAUUUGUCAAACGAAAAAAAGAAAAGGAGGGAACUUUAAGGAUGGGAAUCAAAUUGGAAUGCGUAAUGAUUGUAAGCAGCAUUACAGAUCUAAUGAUAUAUGUGGAUGUAAUGAAUGAUCACUGUAGAGUAGAUGAUGGCAUCCAUUAAUUUGACAAGGUUUUUCUAAUAACAAGAAAAGGAAUGGGGUUGGCGACAAUGACAGAAUCAUGCAUGGUGAACAACACUCCUCAGUUUAAUAAGUUCUAGUUUGUACCG